rnacentral:rRNA from 1 species
UGGGGAAUUUUGGACAAUGGGGGAAACCCUGAUCCAGCCAUCCCGCGUGUGCGAUGAAGGCCUUCGGGUUGUAAAGCACUUUUGGCAGGAAAGAAACGUCAUGGGUUAAUACCCCGUGAAACUGACGGUACCUGCAGAAUAAGCACCGGCUAACUACGUGCCAGCAGCCGCGGUAAUACGUAGGGUGCAAGCGUUAAUCGGAAUUACUGGGCGUAAAGCGUGCGCAGGCGGUUCGGAAAGAAAGAUGUGAAAUCCCAGAGCUCAACUUUGGAACUGCAUUUUUAACUACCGGGCUAGAGUGUGUCAGAGGGAGGUGGAAUUCCGCGUGUAGCAGUGAAAUGCGUAGAUAUGCGGAGGAACACCGAUGGCGAAGGCAGCCUCCUGGGAUAACACGGACGCUCAUGCACGAAAGCGUGGGGAGCAAACAGG